rnacentral:rRNA from 1 species
UGGGGAAUAUUGGACAAUGGGCGAAAGCCUGAUCCAGCAAUGCCGCGUGAGUGAAGAAGGCCUUAGGGUUGUAAAGCUCUUUUACCCGGGAAGAUAAUGACUGUACCGGGAGAAUAAGCCCCGGCUAACUCCGUGCCAGCAGCCGCGGUAAUACGGAGGGGGCUAGCGUUGUUCGGAAUUACUGGGCGUAAAGCGUUCGUAGGCGGCUUGCCAAGUCAGAGGUGAAAUCCCACGACUCAAUCGUGGAACUGCCUUUGAGACUGGUUGGCUUGAACACGGGAGAGGUGAGUGGAAUUCCGAGUGUAGAGGUGAAAUUCGUAGAUAUUCGGAAGAACACCAGUGGCGAAGGCGGCUCACUGGACCGUUGUUGACGCUGAGGAACGAAAGCGUGGGGAGCAAACA